AUGAACGCUGGCGGCGUGCCUCAUACAUGCAAGUCGAGCGAACGGACGAGAAGCUUGCUUUUCUGAUGUUAGCGGCGGACGGGUGAGUAACACGUGGAUAACCUACCUAUAAGACUGGGAUAACUUCGGGAAACCGGAGCUAAUACCGGAUAAUAUUUUGAACCGCAUGGUUCAAAAGUGAAAGACGGUCUUGCUGUCACUUAUAGAUGGAUCCGCGCUGCAUUAGCUAGUUGGUAAGGUAACGGCUUACCAAGGCAACGAUGCAUAGCCGACCUGAGAGGGUGAUCGGCCACACUGGAACUGAGACACGGUCCAGACUCCUACGGGAGGCAGCAGUAGGGAAUCUUCCGCAAUGGGCGAAAGCCUGACGGAGCAACGCCGCGUGAGUGAUGAAGGUCUUCGGAUCGUAAAACUCUGUUAUUAGGGAAGAACAUAUGUGUAAGUAACUGUGCACAUCUUGACGGUACCUAAUCAGAAAGCCACGGCUAACUACGU
rnacentral:rRNA from 1 species